ACUUCUUUCCACAUAACAUUUUGUUUUCUCUGUGGUUUCUUUUUGAUAAUAAAUGAAAAAUUGCGUUAUUUUGUAUCAAUAUGACAAAUCUCACAUUUAACAUCAUCGAUAACUUAGAACAAGGCACAGUAAACUCACCAUUACUUUUCAUAAUUUAUAUCAGUGGCUUAUUAAAUUUAUGUAAUAUCAAUAAUAAUAACAAUAACAUAUGCAAAUGAUAUAAUUGUAUACACAGCUGAUAAAUAACCAGUAUACAAACUGGUAUAAAUAAUUAAAGAAAUAGUGACACAAAAAUAAUGUAAGAUAUUUAGGAUAUCGUAUCGUUUACUUUCUAAGAGGAAACACAACACCACAUCAUACAAUUAGAAAAAGCAUUCAAGGCAUAUAGAACAUACAGUAACAUAUUCCGUAACAAACAGAGCAACAAUAAUCAUAUAUUUAUUACUAAUAAGACCAACAAUAACUUAUGUGACACCAAUAUUGUGGAACAUUGGGACAUGUGUAAUUAAAAAAUGUAAGAUAUUCGAGCGUAAAGGUCUACGAGCAUGCCUAAAUUUUUAUUGAACUUCGAAACCUGAACACAAACAUUAUCAUAAUAAUAAAACAUUAUACAAUAGUGCUAACAAUAACGGAAUUGAUAAUUUUAUCAUCAAAACCUCCAGAUAUUACUAUACUAAACUACCUCUAAUUGAAAACAAAAUAAUUGAAAAUCUUGUGACACAUACAAUGAAAAUUAUAUCUUAAAUAAAAAACAAACAGGGUAUUUAACUUCACAAGCGCGUGUUUACACUUUGAUAAAGAUGGUAUAAUACGAAAUGAAAACAAUAUUUCUUUAAUAUACCACUGGAAAAAAGAUAAAAUAGAUAAAAGUAUCACGAUAAAACAAAAUAAUCGUACAAUAAGUUUCGAAAACUUUGUAUACUCAAAAAUAAUCCUAAAAAAAGACUAUGAAGAUUUCCAUAGGCUUGACACAAAAGAAUAUUGGAGGUUAAGGAACCAAAACAUCAUAAUAAAGCUCAAAAGGAGAAAAACACAUAAUAUAGAUAGGAGGACUAAAACAUAUACGACCCCAAAAGUAUGUGAUUUAAUGGAAGCGUUCAGACUGGAAUUGGGUACCGCGACACUGAUUUUCGGCUGAUCGGUCGCGUAUCGCAUGCGUGUGGCCCAGUGUAUACACGAAAAGUCGCCGCGCAAGGAAUGGGGGCAGGCGACGCAUGCGCGGGAAUCUCGCGCAGCAACGUGAGGCGUCUACCGGGCAAACAAUACAAUUAUAAACUAUGAUCAGACAGAAGCUCUGCAUCGCGUCGCCAUCGUAGUUCAGAACUACCGUAGAAUUACCCGUAGAAUUACCCGUUCAAUGCCAUAGACUUCCAUCAGAGAUGAAAAAAAAGACUUGACAAAAUCUUAGGACUUAUAUAAUUAAAUUAUAUAUUUAAUAAAGACAAAUUUACGCUUUACCUAGUUCUACUAACAACGUUUUUGCACUUUAUAAAACUGUUGUGCACUCUUGACACUGCAUUCAACCAAAUUCCGCUGACUCACACUCACAUUCACUCAUGCCAACCUCUCAAAUUGAAAAAUUAUGUGCGAAUUAUAUUUCAUCUAACACAUUACAUAAUUGUUAUAACUUCUAAACAAUCAAUUCAUAUAAAAACUAUAACUAUAUGCACUACGUAUAUGAAUUUCUUUUACAUACGAUCUACACAUCAAUGGCAUUUUCAGUGUUUGAGAAUUAAGAUCAUAAAUAUAAGUAAUAAGUAAUAAAUUGAUAAGUUUAAUGUCUAUAGAUUGAUUAAAAAUUAUAAGGCAUUUUUAUUAUGACGGUUUUAAAAAUUCAACAAGACUUUAACGGGUGCCGCCAACUGAUUCUAAUUAUUCGAUUGUUACGAUUCGAGUUUUGAUUUUUAUCAUCCAAUAAGCCGCUUCAUAAAAUGGCUUGUUAGGGAACAGGUAUUCAUUGCUGCAAGCAGUUUGCGUUUCGCUCGUUACUGCGCCCAGGGUGGGGGUCUUACGCCCUCGGCCCUGCGGGGCCCACCCGCUCAACCGAAUCGUCGCGAUCGAGGUCGUGUGAUAGCGACGACACCCGAAACACACACACACACACACACACACGGAACGCGUACACGCGACGUUUAGGAAGUGUACUGUCCCUAGCAUAGCUUAUUGGAUAAAGUUUGUAGAUUAAUUGGAAAGGGUGAGUUUGUCAUAAAAAGCAUUAUCAAAACUGAACGUGCAGGUGAUUUUCGAGCAGCUAGUAGAGUUAGCCCAGCCGAGAAAAAAAAUUCGUGAGAGUUCUUGCUUUGCAGCUAGCAUUAGUUUUCUAGACUUCCUCUUGAAACUUGGUACAUGCUAUACAUACAGUGGAUGUACACCUUUUAAACAUUUUUAUAUUUGGGUCAAGCAGUCUAAAUUUUUUUUGAGAUGUUAGAGGAAUUAGUUUACUAGACAAUGUGUUUGAGACGGCAGGACGCGGAUGUAAAGAAUUUGGAUGUAACAAAAUGUAAUUUAACAAUGCAAUAAAAAUCAGCAAACUUAACAAAUACGAAAGGAAGUGAGUUCGAUCGUUACAAUGGCAACCAGAUGCGAGAAGGAUACAUGCCUCUCGUCACGUGAGCACAUCACUCAAAAACGGUCUCCUGUGUGAAACAAAGAGAUUAGCAUAAUUGUGCAAUGUGUUCACCCAGAGAUGGCAGGCCCUGUCCCUCCCAAUCGCAACGUCGUCGACCGAACAUCACCUCGAUUGCAAAGUCGCGCCGAAAUUGGCGGCGACCUCCAAUCCAGAACCGAAUGGUUACAAAAAUUAUUUUCAAAAAUUGUAAAUUGUUGACAUGAUAAAAGGAUUAAAAAAUUUUA